AGUCCCGUAGCUCAGUUGGUUAGAGCGCUACACUGAUAAUGUAGAGGUCCCCAGUUCAAAUCUGGGCGGGACUACCA
rnacentral:tRNA from 1 species